CCUACGGGAGGCAGCAGUGAGGAAUAUUGGUCAAUGGACGAGAGUCUGAACCAGCCAAGUAGCGUGAAGGAUGACUGCCCUAUGGGUUGUAAACUUCUUUUAUAUGGGAAUAAAACAGGGUAUGCAUACCCUCUUGUAUGUACCAUAUGAAUAAGGAUCGGCUAACUCCGUGCCAGCAGCCGCGGUAAUACGGAGGAUCCGAGCGUUAUCCGGAUUUAUUGGGUUUAAAGGGAGCGUAGGUGGAUUGUUAAGUCAGUUGUGAAAGUUUGCGGCUCAACCCCAUCCAGCCGUUGAAACUGGGGAUCGAGAGUGUGCGAGAGGUAUGCGGAAUGCGUGGUGUAGCGGUGAAAUGCAUAGAUAUCACGCAGAACCCCGAUUGCGAAGGCAGCAUACCGGUGCACAACUGACGCUCAGGCACGAAAGCGUGGGUAUCGAACAGGAUUAGAUACCCGGGUAGUC
rnacentral:rRNA from 1 species